ensembl:misc_RNA Metazoa_SRP Metazoan signal recognition particle RNA
GCUGGUGCCUGUAGUCCCAGCUAUUCAGGAGUCUGAGGUUGAAGGAUCUCUUGAGUCCAGGAGUUCUGGGCUGUAGUGCGCUAUGCCGAUUGAGUGUCUGCACUAAGUUCGGCAUCAAUAUGGUGACCUCCCGGGAGUGGGGGACCACCAGCUUGCCUAAGGAGGGGUGAACCAGCCCAGGAUGGAAACAGAGCGGGUCAAAACUCCUAUGCUGAUCAGUAAUGGGAUUAUGCCUGUGAAUAGCAACUGCACUCCAGCCUGGGCAACACAGUGAGACUCCGUCUCUU